rnacentral:rRNA from 1 species
GACGAACGCUGGCGGCGUGCUUAACACAUGCAAGUUGAACGGUGAAAGCGGAGCUUGCUCCGCUGGAUCAGUGGCGAACGGGUGAGUAACACGUGGGCAACCUGCCCCUCACUUCGGGAUAACUCCGGGAAACCGGGGCGCAUACCGGAUAUGACCUCCUUGGGCAUCCUUGGAGGUGGAAAGUUUUUCGGUGAGGGAUGGGCCCGCGGCCUAUCAGCUGGUUGGUGAGGUAGUGGCUCACCAAGGCGACGACGGGUAGCCGGCCUGAGAGGGCGACCGGCCACACUGGGACUGAGACACGGCCCAGACUCCUACGGGAGGCAGCAGUGGGGAAUAUUGCGCAAUGGGCGAAAGCCUGACGCAGCAACGCCGCGUGCGGGAUGACGGCCUUCGGGUUGUAAACCGCUUUCAGCAGGGAAGAAGCCGCAAGGUGACGGUACCUGCAGAAGAAGCACCGGCUAACUACGUGCCAGCAGCCGCCGUAAAAC